rnacentral:lncRNA from 1 species
GCAGACUAUUGCCGUGGCCGUUGCUUGCACGCUGGAACUGAAUGGUCUGUCAGUGAAUGCGUUGCUCACUAAGUCUUCUAGAACGGCUGGCCAGGGAGCUCCAGACACCACCCAAGUCUGUCCCUUGGUGCUGGGGUUACAGGUGUGUGCUGCUGCUACAGAUUGGUCAGGAGGGGGGGAGGUAGGGGGAUCUUUACGAAGGUCCUCUGGAUUGCAUGGCAAACAUUGUUCUGAGUCAUCUGCCCAGGUGACCCCAGGUCACAGUUUCUUAAACCCAUAAGGGAUCACUGUAACUUAAUGUCAGGGUUGUGAAAAAUUUGGCAGUAGUGGGUUUCUGAGUAUGCAAUGAUCACAGCCCAAUUCAAAAAUCAAAUGUAAUGAAUGGUGUUUCUGGCAAGGCUCACCCUGCAGUACCACAUAACUUCAUAAGCGCCUCGGUUCUGUACAUGAAACAUGAAAAUGCUGUA